UGUUUUUAAUCCUGUUUGUAGCGACCAUGGCUCCGACUGGCAUAGGUGGCGUGUGCUUGGCAUUUAUCGCUUUGUGUAACUUUGUUUUUGUCUUCGGAACGAGUGUGGAGUUUGUCCGUUUCAUCUCGUUUCGGGCGAUUUAUCACAAUAACAACGGCGUGGCUUCACAGAGUAAAGCCAGCUUGCUACAAGAAUAUCGUCUGGAAAUUGAAUGUUAAUGAAAAAUCAGGUUCAGUAGACUGUGGAAUAGACAUGUUGAUGGUGUUUGAAUAUUAAUUUAUAUGCUCUAUGUAACCUUACAUUUGUGUUUAGAUUGUGUAUGAUUUCAGUACUUUUUCUCUUAUUCUCUCAUAGUAUGCUCUUUACCCGACCACGGAGGGACCCUUUGAUUUUACUGUUGGGCUUUUAAAGAUGCUGAUGAUAUAUAUAUUUUUUUUUCUUCAUGUGUGACAUUCAUUUAAUGUGCCCUCCAUUAAUGACACCCCUUAUAAAAAUGUUUAUUUUAAAAAUAUUUAUUUCUUGAUGAGGGCUUUGUUUUUCUUUGAAUGAAAUUGUUUCAAUUGAAAGUGAGAUGUUUCUAAUUUGUUUAGUGCAAGGUGACAUUUCUUCAGCAAACAGGUUUUUUUUUUUUGUUUGUUUUUUCUUUAACCUUUCUUACUAAUUUUUACAAGGGGUGCCAACAAUAGAGGAGAGCUCUGUAUUUAUAGUAGUGUCCAGCAGAUUUGUGUAUUCAUAAUACUCUGAAAUAAUUGAUGUAUUCUAAAAAAAACUAUUGAGAUAACCAUGAACGAGAGUUUUUGUAGUGAACCACAGAGUAAUUCUCACAGUUUGAACUCCAUUCCAAAGUGUCUACUUUUAUGAGAAAACAGGAGUGUUCAGACCAAAACCAGACAGCUUGCACAAAACAAACUCUUCAUAUGACAAAUUGAUGUAUUUAUUUCUGUGUGUCCGCCGUGUAGGAGAGCAGGCUGGCUGUGUGGCUGCAGUAGGGCAGCAGACUGAAGAACAAGUGGCUCAGGUUUAUGAGGCUACAGAGAUCAGCAGGGCCUCCAGGAGGACUCAGCAUGAAAAACUGUUGGAGUUCAUCAUAAAGGGCCAUUGAGCAGUUGAUCACUUGCUGGCUGUUGUAUCUGAAAAGGUGUCACCUAAAUGGUUUAAAAAUGAUGAAGAUCCUAAAGGUCACCGGGUAAUGACCUAUAUACAGUAGAAGAUGAGGAGCUGACAGAUGGUCUGUACAACUACCUGAUGAAGUGCUGUCAAGAGCUGUAGGCACCUUUGAAAAGAUCGACAGAGUUCACCUCAUUCUGGAUGUGCUGAUGCCAGAGGCUUGUUUGGCUUCAGUGAAUCUGUAAGGAGUACAGAAAGUGUCUGUUGAGAGAGAAGAGUUUGACAAACCUGUGCUUCCAACUGUUGCAGUACGAGGACAGACAGCAUCACUAAGGCAUCUCAACUUGGGAUUCCAUCUCAGCACCUCCUCUAAUAAACAUGUCACUUGCUUUAUUUGUCUUUGGCCUUUUUUAUUUCUGAGUGUUAAACUGACUGAGCAUAAUAGAGUUGUGUAUAUUUGAUUUAACUAUUGAUAUAAAUAAUAAAGGACACUUUGCUGAUUAAGUUCUGUAUAUUUGAA